rnacentral:ribozyme from 1 species
ACGAAGCAAAUUAAUAUUGACCACAGCGUAGAAGACAAGAAGGAAGAAGAACAAAGACGAGGAGGAGAGGAGUUUAGUUUUAUUAAUCGAACCUUUUGUCAUAUUUUCCCGCCUGGUGGACUUUAUUUUCUUUGCUUCUCUUUUCUCUUUCACCCAG